rnacentral:rRNA from 1 species
UGGGGAAUAUUGGACAAUGGGGGCAACCCUGAUCCAGCCAUGCCGCGUGAGUGAUGAAGGCCCUAGGGUUGUAAAGCUCUUUCACCGGGGAAGAUAAUGACGGUACCCGGAGAAGAAGCCCCGGCUAACUUCGUGCCAGCAGCCGCGGUAAUACGAAGGGGGCUAGCGUUGUUCGGAAUUACUGGGCGUAAAGCGCACGUAGGCGGAUUGUUAAGUGAGGGGUGAAAUCCCAGGGCUCAACCCUGGAACUGCCUUUCAUACUGGCGAUCUCGAGUUUGGGAGAGGUGAGUGGAAUUCCGAGUGUAGAGGUGAAAUUCGUAGAUAUUCGGAGGAACACCAGUGGCGAAGGCGGCUCACUGGCCCAAACUGACGCUGAGGUGCGAAAGCGUGGGGAGCAAACAG